rnacentral:lncRNA from 1 species
CUCUCUUCCAACACGGUCGCCUUGCUCAGCUGCAGUACAGAGCCACCAUGGCCAGCAUAGGGAGAUCACCACCUGCCCUGGGAGACCCGGCAGAAGGAAGCACAUUGGAGACCAGGAAGCCUGAAGCUCUCGCUGACUGUGCUGCAGACGGCCAUGAGCCUAGGAAGAGGAGCUGCCACCCAGACCUCUGCCAACACCUUGGAAGAGGCAGCCACACGGGAUGGCACUGAGAGACGGCCACGGUCCCCUUCGCCAGGUUUGGAGUGUGGUCCACAGAGGUCCACCCUCGUGUCCUGCCACCCGGAGAAGCAGCCCUCUCUGCCCCUCGUGCAGGGCAGGCGAAUACUUCAGGAUCCAGGAGCCCUGCCGAGGUCCUGCAGAGGAGCAGAUCCUACCAGGCUCCUGAGGUCACUGUGCGGCCACUGCACUGUGAGGACAGAAGACCUGGGUGGGUCCUGAUGCUACUUCAGGCAAGAAACUCCACACCACAAAGCUCCGUGGCAGUGGGAGGUGGGGCUGUGGGGAGGUUCCUGGCCUAUGAGCUGUCUGUGAGCCAGGUGCAUGUCGCAGAGGGGCAGAGGCUCUCAACCCUGGCUCCCCAGGACACUCUCCUGGGGGUCAGAGUCCACAGCAGCCAAAGCCACUGAAAGACAGUGGCCCUGGACCGCCGCAUCCCUCAGCUCCCAAGCUGUGAGAGAAGGCGGCCGGGUCCAGACACAGCACCGGAGCCCUCGUCCAGCAGGUCCACCCGUGGACAGUUUAGUUACAUCCUGGGGGCACUGCACAAAGCAGGGAGAGCCACUGGACGAGGAAGCACCUGCAGUGAGCGAAGUCCGUGCAUCCGAUGAAAGCGGCCUAGCCUGUGGUCUUGCCUGCGGAACGACUCAGCGGCACGAGUACUCUGGCUCUGAGCAACUCACUACUGUCAUCGUGAUGAAACGCAGUGUAAAUGAAGCACACACUCCUUUCUGGAGUUGGUCUUUGUGGCUCUGGGCUCCCUUCCCAUAGGGGCAGCCAUGAGAACCACACGCUUCCCCAGGGUGGGGUGGUGGAUGGGCUGGGGCAGGGGAGGACCUUGUAAGGGGAGCAAAGGAAUCAGGGAGUAGGACAGGUGAGGAGAGGGACAGCCACUCACCAGCGAGAUCUCGCCGGACUUCUUUACAAGAAGCCCCAGAGGGCCGAGGCAGCGAGCAGCGGAGGGAGCGGACCGUGUCAGACCGAGACCGAGCUCCCGGGUGGCUCUGCAAUGAGCAUUCAGGUGCCUGCAGCAGAGAACCACUCAGGACUCGAGUUGGGGAAAACGAGUGUGGUGGCACUCAAAGUAGCUAGGUGCCCUGGAAACUGGUGCAUGGAAUAACCAGCCUGUGAAAGUGAGUCUGCCGCGACGCUAUUAAUGCCUGAGCCCUCCUGGGGUUCGUCUCUGGUGCCAGGCCUUUGGACCUCAAGCAACCUGAGUCCCUACGCUGUGCCAGGCACUGUACGGGGUGCUGGGGGUGCAGCACACGCCACAAGGACUCCCUCCACCUAAGUCUCAUGGUCCAGCUGGGGAAGGGGCUGGGGACGAGACACACCGCCACGGCCACCCCGGGGGGCACUCGAGGCCCCGCCUCCUGGGUGCCGCCACCUGCCACAGUGCCAUCAAGGGUGGCUCUCCUACACAGGGAGCUAGAGACGCCUGCUGUGCAGAGACACGAUCACAAGAAAAUCUUGUCACAAAGACGGUGUCAAACCCAGUGGGAGAAGGAGAGAGGGACAGAAAUCGGUGCUCUGGGUCUGCUCCAAAACCAGCGGUGCAGCGAUUAAAACAACGAGAAGGGGUGGUUUGAAAUAACAGCCCUGGCAGCUGAACUAACGUGGAAAUCAGGCCAGGCAGAGGGAGAUGAAAAAGGAAACCGGCUGAGACACAGACGAUAAAAUAACACGUGUUUGGCCUAAAACAUGAGCACAAAGGAUAUUUCUCAGCUGCAGAUAGGAUUGUGAAUUUGGCACGAUAAGGGGCAAAGAUCGCCCCGGAAUAUGUAGAUCAGAGCUGCCAUCCGUGGAGCAGUCCUCGGCUUCCUCCUGGGACGGCGGCAAACUCCACAGCCAUACCAGCCCUGUCCCCGACAGGACAGGGGCCUCCACCUCAGCCCACUGUGGGGGACCUGCCUGGGUCUCCCAGGCCUCCACCCUGAACCCCAGACACUGCCGCCCCCUGCUCACCCCACUGCAUAUUGGGGUGACAGACAGUGGGGAGCUGGCCCUCCACGGUCUCCUCAGUCAGACAUGUGGGCCCCCUAGGGCCCGGCAGAAUACAUGUUCUGGGGUGCGGGCUCCAAGUCGGGCCUGAGAGUUUAAAAUUGAGCUCUGCAGUCAUGCCAGCAACAUUUCAAGUCCCCAGGGGGCACCUCCUUGGGCACAACAGUACAGAACACCUUCAUCAUCCAAAAAGCUCUACCGGGCAAUGUGACAGACCGGAGGCCCCUCCCGUGCACGGCUUGUAAAACUCGUGUUGGAUCCCAACUCCCAGUGCGGUGACGGUAGAACCAGAUCCGCCCUGCUCUCAGGUCCUUUCUCUGGGGCACGGAGCAAUGAAGCCCAUAAAACAGUGAGGAGCAAGUGAGGGACAACGGCCAAGUGUGUGUCCACUGGAGAGGUUACAAGAGAAGCCCUCCAGCAGUCAGAGAGGGGUGUUCGAGAGGCAGGCACCACAGACGUGUGGGUCUAUUGGUUUUUUAUACAGUUGUGGGGACCGAGGUAGGUGACUGCAGGGAGAGGCGCUCCUGCCUUUGAUGCCUGGAAAGCCAACUGCUGUGUUGGCUUUUCACUUCCUCCAAGGUCUCACCUAUUUGUUUAAGAACCUGAUCUUUGUCUCUUGCAUGUCAUUAGGCCCCGAUAGUCUAUCCUGGUUUGCUGACUCACGCAGGCCCCAACUUUUAGCUUGCUUAAAUUACCUAUUCAGGACAAACCCCCGCCCUAUCUGCCUCCUGGAUUCACCUUCACUAAUAGACUAGGCACCUCCCUGAAAGGGAGGCCAGAGAACUCCCUAGCUAGGGUGCAGGAGAAGCUGUCACCUGCAAGAGGACCCUGAGCAGAUCUAUGCCGCCAGCCUCAGACCUCCGGCCUCCACAGCCUUGAGAAAUGCGUUUGUGUUGCUCGUAAGUCGCCCGGUCUCUGUGCUUUGUUACAGCAGCUGAAUGUAAGCCACCUGCAUCCUCUCCUUGAGAAGUCCUUUCUCUUCUUCCCCAGACGGAGGUGCCCAGGGCACUGCUGACCUGGCUCAGCUGUCCACUCUGCAGGCCCAGCUCAGCUGUCUACAACCAGCCGCUCCCACCCUGGGGAUCAGAGGGGUCUGCAACACCACACAUCACCUAACUCUUAUCUCAGAUAACCUAGGCUCACUGGGUGCCCCAGGAAGUUGUCACCCCAGGUUCUGUCCGACUCAUGGAUCUAGAAAAAUGAGGAAAUAGCUAGUUCUUGUCCCACGGGCCUCGCCAGUCUUCCCUGAAGCAAAUAAAAAAGAAAACCCCUUACUUUCACAUGACAUUUGGCAGUAGUCAGCAGAUGGCAGCGUGGGUCCUAGCUUUAUACUCAGGUCUGUGGGGACAAAGAAGUCCCUUUCUUCCUUCUAAAAGGCACAAGAAGCCCAGCAGUCUUGCUUCAGACUCAUAGCUCCUGUGGCCUUGAAAUCAAGGAAUCCACAGGGUGGAGGUAGGAAACGCAGUGCCCAAGUCCAGCAACAAGAAAUGGAGCUCUCCCCGUCCUCCCGUGGCUUCCAGUGGUUUCCCGAAGAUCCUGGCUUGUGCCUUCCGGCUUGCGCUUGCAGGAGCAGGAAAUGUCUCCCGGGUCACGCGCCCCUCCCUGCAGCUGGGUGGGCUGGUCAGAGCCGCGUGCCCAGCCCUGAGGUCCACCCUGCCUGAGCUCCCUCCAGCUGUGGCUGAGGUCUCUGUCAAGAGAGUGUGGCCGCUCAGCCUGUCCUCCUCCCAGGGAAGCCCGUAAUAAACGUCCUGCCAGCUGCUCUCCACCUCAGAAUCUGCUCCUGGGAACCCACCCUGCUGGAGCCCCUCUUCGCCCUCCUGGCCCCGCCUUGCUUCCGUAGUGCAAAGAAAAGGGGAGACUGCUGAGGAUCUACCACAGCACGGCCGAGAAGCCCGCAGCCCGUCUGGUUCCCGGAGCUCCUUCCUCCCUGGUCUCCCUCAGAUCCAUUCUGCCAGCCUUUGGGGCCAGCUCCUCAGAUGAGUCCUCCGUUGCCCUGGACCUGCAGCAGGAAGCACUGUGCCCUGCUUCGGGUCAUCUCUGUGGCCUUCUCUUCCGCAACGGUGGCCUCAGGGCUCCUGGGGAGGAGCAGAUAUGACUUGGGGCAGAAGCCUCAUCUCCCCGAGAGGGAGACAGGACCCUGAGAACUCUCCCGCCACCCUGCACUGGCACCACCUCAGCCUCUGCCAGUUUCCAUAAACACAGACAGGGCUCAGAUGGGAAAGCGGAGACACUCACCUUGAACAUGCCUUUCACCUGCGCCCCAGCCAUGGUCCAUCACCCCGCUCUCCCUGGGCCUGUACCAGGGGCCCGGGACACCACUGCCCUUUGGAGCCCGCUGCCUUUACCCCAACCAGCAAUCCUGGGCUGCUGGGCCUGUCCUUCCCCCAGCAGAAGCUGCCAUCCAGGCACCCUCCCACAGCCACCUCGCUCCCCUGCUCAUGCCCCACCCCGGGGGCUUGGCCAGUCCCCCUGAGGCCGUAGAUAUGACAAACCGUCCUCUGAGGCACUGACCCUGACUUCCGUCCUGACCACACGCAAGCAGUAAUCCAGUCUACACCCCAAAGCCAGCUCUCUGCAACUGCUGGGUGCUGCCCCAGACACUGAGGUGGGCAGGGCACUUAAAGGGACAGAGAUGCGCUCAGGAAAAUGCAAAUCCAGCCAAACCACGAGGUCUCUCUAGAGCAAUCAGGACAGUUACAAGCAAAAGUCAGAAAACAGCAAGAGUGCAGAGAAAGUGGAGCCUUCUACCUCCCUUUCGGGAAGGAUUGUAAAAUGGCAAGGUCACUGGGAAGGAAUCAGGACGCUCCCGAAGAUGUUAAACAGACUGCGGCCAAACCACCCCGAACACACACCGAUGUCAUCUGAAAGUGUUACACCGAGUUGCCAUGGGACCCAGCAAGUCCCGUCCAAGGCAUCUGAAAGAAAACAUAAAUCCUUAAGGACUUGGACGUAAGUAUUUAUAGAAAUAUUGUUUAUCAUAACCCCAGAAUGAAAACGACUCAAAUGUCCAUCAUCAGAUAAACAAAUGUGGUGUAGUCAUUCCGUGGAAUAUUGUUCCGCAAGAACAGAGCAAAGCACUCAGGUGCUGUCUGGAUGCGGCGUCACAGGGCUAAGGCACAGGACGGGCGAGAGAGGGAGAUGUGCAGAGACCGGCAGCAGGCUAGCAAGCGCUCCGAUCGUGAGAGCGGGGGGAGGGAAGUGACUGCUGCAGGUGAGGGGUUUCCCUGGAGGAUGAAAAACACGUUCUAAAGUUAACUGUGUCGAAGGGAACACAAACGUAUGGC